AAGAAUUCUACAAACCCAGUUGGUAGGAAGUUAAAUUCCUGGUCUGGCAAAGGAUUGAGCAGAAAAACCUCAAGUCCCUCGCCACGGAGGAAAUCCUGUCCCAGUGACCUGCCAAGACAUGUCCGCCCUUGACUGUCUCAUCAAAGACUUGGAUUCAAUUGGCGGAGCCUGGGAAUCUGCAUUCGACGAUGUCCUGAAAUGGUUUUGAUAUCAAAUUUAGGAACUGUUUAGUCCCCUCACUACAAUUUACAGGUGAGUGAACUGA